CUUGUCUUGCUCCCUUCACUUCAAAUCCAUCUUCGGUUGCCCGGUGGACUUCUGGCUCCAGCCAUACACAAAGAAGCAUCAACCUCACAUAGACCAUUUUACUAACUUCCAGAGGCUUCUGUCUUCUGAUUGAAUCCUGAAUGACACAGUCUAUUUUGACACAGUUAAGGAGUCAAACGGAUCCUCAUUCAUCUCUGUGCCAUCCCUUAGCCACUAAAUGGCAGAGAGGCCUCACCAUGGAUGCCCACUCAGCCCCCGAAGUGAGGUGUGAGUUUGCAAGGCUUAAGGGGAGCAGGAAACUCACUGGAGCCCGACAAACAGUGCUGCUCCUGACACUGUUUUUAAAAACCCAGGUUUUAAACACUUAGAUGACGGGAACCAGACCCCAUUCCACUUGUGUUUGCCUGACCAGUUCUGCCACUGUCACCUAGCAAAGCCUUCCUGCCCAAACCAAUGACGAGAAGAGGAAGGACGAGCUCACCUUCUGAAAUACUUCUAUGAGGUGGUAGCACCAAGAAUAUUUUUGGAAGCAUGUGAUGAGUUGUACAAUGAAGAGAGAUCCCUUUGUGGCGUGUCUCCAGGAUACGUUAUCUAUGAAGACAGGAAGUGAAUCAUUCAGAGGUGGCCUCAGGCCCACAAAUCCCUGUGUGCACUGGAAAGACACAUACGUGGGGUCGAGGAGCAGAAAGCAACGAAGUCCUUCUCGACGUGGACCUUGUGGAUGGCAUCACUCUCCAGGAGCAGAGGUCGAUGUGAGAAGCUGUUGGUUGAGGCCGCUGAGACGCACCAAAGCUGUGAAAUUUUCUGUUUUGCUUAUGGUAUGAUUAUCCUGCACCAAGCGAGCCUAGAGCACUGCAGCUGGGAGUUUCCUGUCUCAUUCACAGACCUGUGCCCAAUGCCAGGAAGUGCCCCUGGGACACAGUUGGGACUCGAUACAUACAUGAUUUGGUGGCAGCGUUGGGAUCCAAAGCAAACUUCUGUCAGCACUUGGGGACAAAGAGAAACAGAGACAUGGUGCCCUGCAAACAGGUUUGAGUUCACUGUCUUUUUUUGCCAUUUCCAAGGCCCGUUGGUGAGUUCCUGUUGGUCUGAGCUCUGGUCUUUUUGUGUUGGAGCUCUAGAUCUAAUCAGCUUUGCAGCCC